CGAUUACCCUGAAUCCAUAAGCCCGGCCGUGGAGACCAUCUCCAGCUGCAUAUGAUGGAUGACCUUGAUUUGCAACUGAAAGCUGAAGUUGAGGAUGGUUCUUACCCAUCUGAAAAUGAAUAUGCUCAAGCAGGUUUUACCCCUGCAGGUAAUGAUCCAGACAUCAAGCCAGACCUGUUAAUUCUGUCAUCGCCUGGGAACAAUCCUCUGAAGAUUGCCAGCGGUCCGUCCAUGUCCACAUUGGGUAAUGCUGCGGAUGUUCCGCCGGACCCUCUGGCGCUGUCGCCUUCACAAAGGGAUUUCUUGAGCACCACGUGCGACAUGGAGCUCAGCACUCUCGGUGAUGUUACUGAUGGCAACCCUCAUCCGUUGCUGACGUUGCUGACUGCGAAUAACGAUGAUUUGAAAAGCGACAGUGGCCCCGGGUCCUGCAAAAUGGCACCACUUGCCGACUACCCAGCUACCUACAAGAGGUGCCGUAGUUGGCUACCUGAAGUGGCUGGAGAAAAACCAAGAACCCGUAUCUCGGAGGCCGCCAAAGCCGCGUCUUUUCAAAAAGGUGGCUGCAGAUGUCAGCGAAAUGUGGGCUGAGCAUGGCAUACCUGUCCAUGAACUACAUUACGUGACAAAACGCGUAAAACUCGAAUGUUACGGAUUCUUCAAAACGGCUAAGAAAGCUCCAAGGAAGAUGAGAUACACUGGCGACAGAUAUGACGUGUAUUUCAGGAAACUUUUUGACAUCGCGAGGUGUAAAUGUCGCGCUCUUGGCUCGUGUGGGUGUCCUCUCGCCUGCAGAGUCCCGGAGGAGAAGUGGGACUUGCUCAAGGACCAGCGGGGUAUGAGAGCCAUGACUCUGGGACCUUAGGCUUCUGAGACAACUGCCACAAGACAGCCCCGAAGUGGAACACCAAGAAGCCCUGUGCCUCGAGGAGCCUACUGAGACUAGCAGCCAGUGGCCUACUAUUGGUGAAACCAAGGGUGGGAGCAAUGGUUUCAGUUCUUGACACCGUUGACUGCUUUUGAAGCACUGGGAGAAGGAAGCAAACGUAAAUAACUAGAUGAAUUGGAGAUGCUUCCUGGAAGGUUGCUGGUGCCUGGGUGCGAUGGAAAGUGCGCUGAACACAGGGGCUUGCAGCAGAGCGUCCCGUUCGUGCGCGUUUGUCGCCGACGGUGCCGCCGGCUGGCCCAUCGCCAGCCUCACGGCAGCGAUCCCAACCCUGGGACAUGUGUCGGAAGCUGUGGAGGGGGACACCGACGAGCCACGGAGCUUCUCGAGCUUCCACGCAUGGGCUGCGCCACAGGCAUGUGGACAAUGAAGGUAGUGAAGCUUGAGACCGUACAAGAGAACGUGAGAGACGUCCUGGAUGCGAUGGUGCAGCAACUCAACCACAGUCAGGAAGCUCUCUGCCGGCUGGCUUGGGCUGCGCAGAGCAGACCUAAUGCGCUCCAGGCAGCUCGUAGCCGAAUAAACAAGCUUUACCACGUGAGGUGCGUCCUCCGCCAAUGGCCCGCUGCUGUGCCGACUGUUCAGAUCAAGACAGUCGGAUGAAGCUCCAGGCCCGCCGCCAAUAUCUGAAUACCUGAAGCAUCAGGGAGCUCGCGUGUGAAGUUCGUGGCCGGUGGCUCCGCGGCACCGGGCAGUUGAAAGUCGAGUCUCGAAGCCAUGCUUGCGAAGACCACAUAAAUGCAGUGUUUGUGGCAGAUGCUAUGGUGCAAAAGUUGGCAUGAACGUUCACGACUGUACUCACUCAGGGGGAAGCUCUGUAGGUGUGAGGCUUGUGACAUGUUUUGCCAAAGCUCUGCGUUAGUGACGUACGUCCGAACCCACACAUGUGAAGAGCUGUUUCGCUGCGAUGUGUGGGAAGUCGUUCAACUUCAGACACACACGCACACCCUUGGGUUGAACGUUCUGAGGCAAUCUGGUGUGAAUGCAUUAUAUUGGGAUGUAUCCGGUGAGUCUUUUGGUGGAACGCGUAUUUUGGCCAACCUCCGUCGCACCCACGCCGUUGAGAAGUCGCUCAGCUGUGAAAUUCUGCCGAAAAUCGUUCAGUGUUCGCUCAGACCUGCUGUGGGCAUGAUCGGUUAGGCCAUCGUGCUCACUCCAGUGAAAGCCGUUCAGUUCCGGCGGUCUUUGGUUCGCUCGAAGUCAAUACAAGUCAAUACAAGUUCCGGAACUAAUGACCUGUGAUUG
rnacentral:lncRNA from 1 species